UUGAUUCCAGCCUGUGUGGCUAUGAGAACGAUGUCAGUCAUAACGGUCGCUGGGGUCGUAAAAAAGGCACGAAAUCCGAGGUGGAUCACACCUAUGGAACUGAAAAUGGUUUCUAUAUGACUUUGAUGAUAUCAACCUCUUCACAGACUGAAGUAGCUCAGCUGCUCACUCCUGAGUUCCCCUCAGCGACAGAGAUGUGUGUGCGCUUCUGGUAUUGGAUACCUGCAGGGUCAUCUCACAACCUCGCCGUGCACGUGCUGCGGAGCGGAGCCGCAGAGCCAGAUGAGG